UUUUACAUUUUUCUAAAGAUGUUACAAAACAAAUUGAUUAUACUCCCUGCAUAUAGUGUGAUAUGCUUUUAGUUUUGGAUUUUAGAAGUUUUGUUUUUUCAAAAUAGUCUGAUACAACAGGGAGUUUAGAGUGUUUGGCUGUUUACAUACUGAUGUUAAUAAACCUUUUGGAAAACUUUCCAGACACUUUUUUUCAGUGAUUGUUGUAACCUUUCAAAUUAAGUUAAUGGCUGAUGGCAUUGCUAAGAUCUAGGAAUCUACUUAAAAGUAAGUAAAUACUUUCAAAUUUUUCUGCUAAAAGUGAAAUAGCUUUUACAGACACACACAGACACAUUGUAUAAGCUAUUUUCAUAACUAGUGUAAAAUUGAAGUCUUUCAAUUCUGACACAUUUCAAGCACUGCAUUCAAACUUCAGUAGAUGAUGACUUUGAGGAAACAACUUUCUGGACCUUUGUGACAAAAGAAAGUGGUGAAAUUGUACUCUUUUAUCAACAGUAUUUAUUUAAUUUACUGGUUUUAACUUUUAAUGACAUGUUUUUGCUGUAUCCACUUUAUUUAACAAGAGACACAAUGGAGAGAGAUCAGGAUUGCAGCACCAGGACACAGGUGGAAGUGAACUUUGGUUGCUACAAUAAUGGUGUUGUACGCAACAAGGACCUCUUCAAUCUCUUUUUCCUGACAGUAUCCAUUUGGAUUUCGAUACUUUUCAAGAAUAAAUAGCACUGGAAAUUUCAGUGCUUCCAACUUUGCAGAAAUGUGGGAUGGCCAAGUCUCAGAGUGCUAAGCUUCAAGGAUCAUGUCAGCACCAGCUCAAAGUUCCAGUUUUCUGAACAUUGUAUCCUGUGAGCAAGAGACUCUGUCCAACCUCUCUUCAGUCAAGUCUGGACCCAAUAAGACAGCAGUCUCAAGGACAAUUAAUGAUAGAUCAUGCCAAUCCACAUUGAAAUAGUGACAACAUUCAAGUCUUCAAGCAGUACAUUUCCAGUUUCUCGAACUGACUCAGUCCCAUGUCUUCCGUCAAGUGUGGACUCAUUACUGUUGUUCAACCAGACAAGCGGCCCUGAUUGAUGUUUAUGUCAUCAUUGAUUAUCCUGAAUUUAUAUGGACACAUUUUAUUUCCAAGAUCAACACGUCUUUGUGAGUACACUGGUCAAGUUAUUGGAUCAGCUCAGACUGUUUUAACACAGUGCCUGUGUGCAGAAUCUGUUUCUUUAAAAUCUAAUAAUUAUGGUUUGUGCCUUGAUUUACUAUAGACAGUAUUUAUUAGUUAAUUUAGCAAUUCCAAUAACCUGACUGAUUACUGUAAAAUCUGUGGCAAACAACUGUAAUGCCUUUUGUAUUUUACCGUAUUUUUUGCAGUGAAAUUCUGGCAACCACAGCUGCCGGUAAUUUUCUGUAAAAUUGAACAUUACAAUAAAAUACUAUAAUAUUCUA